rnacentral:rRNA from 1 species
CCUGGCGGCUUUAGGCCGGUGGUCCCACCUGACCCCAUGCCGAACUCAGAAGUGAAACGCCGUAGCGCCGAUGGUAGUGGGGGGUCUCCCCAUGUGAGAGUAGGGAACUGCCAGGC